rnacentral:rRNA from 1 species
GACAUAGGUGGCAAACGUUAUCCGGAAUUAUUGGGCGUAAAGGGUGCGUAGGUGGUUCAAUAAGUUACUGGUGGCAAAUCGGGGCCCAACCCCGUGGAAGUCGGUAAUACUAUUAAACUAGAGGAUCGGAGAGGUUAACGGAAUUCUAUGUGUAGCGGUAGAAUGCUCAAAUAUAUAGAGGAACACCAAACGGCGAAGGCAGUUAACUAUUCGGUGCCUGACGUUGAGGCACGAAAGCGUGGGGAGCAAGACGG